rnacentral:rRNA from 1 species
AAUGCCGCGUGAAUGAAGACGAUCUUCGGAUUGUAAAAUUCUGUUAUUGGGAAAGAAAGUGCAUAUUAGGAAAUGAAUAUGUAUUGACGGUACCCAUUGAGGAAGCCCCGGCUAACUAUGUGCCAGCACCGGCGGUGACUGAGCGGGCUGGCAAGGCGCAUA